CGCACUUAAUAACCACUUGCUGAACGAAUCAGUGCGUUUCCCGAAUCUGUCUGUGUGUCCCCAGGAUCCCAUCAGCAAACGGCAGCCUGAGAACCAGCCCCAGUGCCCCGAGGCGACCGGGGCGGGAAGGGACCGCGACCCAGGAGCAAUGCCGUUCGUCUCACCCACCCAGGCUUCGGUGGCGCUGCCCGUUCGCCCGGCCGGAGGGAUCCGGGGUCAGGCUCCCCACAUGGCCAUCCUCGGAGCCAUGCCCCGGCCCAACGCUCGCUCACGAGACCGUACACCUACCUGGACCAGCUCUGCCUUGCAGCUAAGGCCGCUUCACCCGGGAGACGCUAACUUCCGGCCCCCGGCGGAAGCGGAAACAGCGCUUUGGUUUCCCGCCCACUCCUUAAGCUAGUGUGGACACCGCCUCCUUCAACUGUUGAUCCCUGCGAACUUGUGACGUCUGCUAUGGCGCAUGCGCUCCCGUGGAGGCUCCCACCCUGAGAACAAGGACACAGGGUGAAGGUGGCCACAGAUUCAGAGCUCUGACAGCCAGGAGCCUGUGAGUCAGUGGGAAGAGGCCCGGUGGCUGUGAGUUUCCACGAUGGUUGGGGUUAACCCUGAGGGCUGAGCUGCUAUCACAGCUAGCUGGCAACGUGACUAUGCUGGGUCUCACCAUGCAGCGCAGGCUGGCCUGGAACCCGAUGUGUAGACCAUGGUCCUGUGCUCAGAGACAAGCCUAUCUCUGUCUUCAGCCUGCUGGAACUGAAGGCGAGGAGCACCAAGCCAGCUGUUCAUCUUCAGCAGGACUUUGCUGUGCUGCCAGACUGGCCCGGAAGUUCUAGACCCAAGUGGUCCUCCUGCUUCACUCCUGUGUGUCUGGGACCACAAGUUCAGCCUUCAUAUCGUGAUGUUUACUUAAAAUCACAUCGAAGCCCGGGCGUGAUGGCAGCUGCCUAUAAUCCCAGCAGGUGUGUGGUGGGGGAGGGGACAGAAACAGGAGGUCCUAGAGUGCAAGGCCAGCCUGUGCCACAUGAGCUGAUGGCUCAGUGGUUAAGAGCACUGGCUGCUCUUCUAGAGGUCAUUAGUUCAAUAUUCAGCAACCGCAUGGUGGCUCACAACCAUCUAUCAUGGAAUUUGAUUCUCUCUUUGGUGUACAUGAAAGAAG
rnacentral:lncRNA from 1 species